rnacentral:lncRNA from 1 species
AGGACACAGAGGAUCUGGAGAAAAGAGAUGCUGGCACCUCUGAUCCCCCAAGAGGCCCCAGACCCACCAAGGGCAAGCUCAAGCUGUGUGGCUUAGCGGGAGCUUUGCUGUGGAGCCGUAUGACUCA